AACGAACGCUGGCGGCAGGCCUAACACAUGCAAGUCGAGCGGACCCUUCGUGGUUAGCUGCGGACGGGGGAGUAACGCGUGGGAAUAUGCCCGUCUCUACGGAAUAGUCCUGGGAAACUGGGGGUAAUACCGUAUACGCCCCUCGGGGGAAAGAUUUAUCGUGGUAGGUGUAGCACGCGUUGGAUUAGGUAGUUGGUGGCGUAAUGGCCUACGAAGCAAUGGAUAGCUAGCUGGGUAGAGAGGAAGGUCAGCCACACUGAGGCUGGGACACGGUCGGGACUCCUACGGGAGGGAGGAGUGGGGAAUCUUAGACAAUGGGGGCAACCAUGAUGGAGCCCGGCCGCGUGAGUGAUGAAGGCGUGAGGGUAGUGCAGCUCUUUCAGCUGGGAAGAUAAUGACGGUACCAGCAGAAGAAGCCCCGGCUAACUCCGUG
rnacentral:rRNA from 1 species